rnacentral:lncRNA from 1 species
UUCACAAACAUCGUCACAUAGCCACCUCACCAUAUACCUAGCAAAUACCAACAUAAUAAUUUCUGCUGCAACCACUAGUCACAACCACCAUAAUAGUUCAUUGUCCAUACAAAUCACGUAGUAGAGAGUAGUACUUUGCUAGCACUACAUAGGGUUUCAGUGUAUGGGCUGCCGGUGGACUGGUGGCUGGUGGGGUUCUUUAGUUUUGGGCUGGGUAUUUUUCACCCAUGGGUAAAUGGGUAUGGGGACUACUAGAACGUCCCCAUACCCGCGUACCCAAUGGGUGAAAGGUUUGCUCCGUUUGUGUACCCAUGGGUACUGGUUUCACUCCAUAUUGGUACCCUAAUAGAGUAAAUACCCAUCGGGUCGCGGGUCGCGGGCCCC